CAGGCCGGCGCGUUAACAUAGGACCACGUCGGGCAUGCGCAUACUGCACGCAUGCAUCAGAGCAUGCGUACUUCCAUCUGAGAUUCUGCCAGGUUGAACAAGACUCGGCCUUUGUGAGGCGUGCUCAGAUCCUCAGAGGAAGUGACAGACAGGCCUUUUACUUGAAGUGAAAUCACUUUUGGGAGGUAUUUCCUGAGGACGUCUCAUUCACUCACGUGGUAUCUGGCACCCUGGGCUGUGGGAUUGCAUGUGGAAUAAAUGAAGUCUUCGGACCUCGGCCAUGGUGGCAGCCAUUGUUUGAUACUUGUGCAUGUAGCACUGGUGACUCAAGCCAGUGGGACAAUCGAAUUCAAAUCAGAGCCACCCAGCAGUGAGACAUAGGAGUCACAGCCCCAUCAUGAAUGUGUUAACCUAACCAAGAAGUGGAAGACCUCAGCAACCAAAACUGCAGUACUCUGAAAAAGGAGAUUCAAGAGGACAUUAGAAAGUUGAAAGAUAGUCCUUGUAUCUGGAGAGGCAGAAUCAAUAUUGUCAAAAUAAUCAUACUGCCAAAAUUGAUACAGAGAUUUGAUGCAGUCCCCAAAUACCUGCUCCAUCCCUCGCAGAACUAGAGAAGACAGUCCUCUGAUGGAAGCAGAAGAGACUCAGAGCAGCAAAAGCAAUGUGAGCAACAAGAGCAAAGCUGGAGGCAUCACGAUGCCCGACGUCACGUCCUAUUGCAAGGCUACAGUGAUACAAAGAGCGUGGUGUUGGCGCAAAACAGACAUGUGGACCAGUGAACAGAGCAGCGGAUGCAGAAACAACCCCACGCACAUUCAGCUGUUUGAUCGUUGACAUAGGGGCCAAACGCAUUUGCUAGAGGAAAGACAGCCUCUGUAGCAAGUGGUGCUGGAAAAAACAGAUAUCCAUAUGCUGAAGAUGGAAGCUGUACCCAUGUGUCUCAUAAUGUACCAAGCUUACAUCAAAACGGAUUAAAGAUCUAAAUGUUAAAACAGAGACACUUAAUCUGCUGGAAGAUAAAAUAGGUAAAAAUUUUGAAGUUAUGGGCACAGGCAUGGACUUUCUGAACAGAACUCCAACUGUGUAAGAAAUAACAGCAAGAAUCAACAAAUGGUAUUAUAUCAAAUUAAAAAUCUUCUCUCAGCAAAGGAAACAACAGAAUGAAAAAUUUUUAUCAGCCAAACCUCAGACAGAGGACUACAAUCUAGAACAUGUAAAUAAUUAAAAAGAAUUAGAUGCCCCAAAUAAAAGUCCUAAGCAAAAAAUGGGCACCUGAAAUGAAUAGACACUUCUCAGAAGAAGCAAUAUAAAUGGCCAGUAAAUACAUGAAAAAAUGUUCAAUUUGACUGGCUACUAGAGAAAUGCAAAUUAAAAGGACACUAUUUCAUCACACCUCAGAAAGAAUGGCAGUCAUCAAGAAAUCAAGUGAUAACAAAUGCUGGCCAGUCUCCAGUGAAAAAGGAAGCUUCUCCAUUGUUGAUGGAAAUGUAAAGUAGUGCAAGGAAUCAGUACGGAGAUUUCUCAAAAACCUAAAAGCAGAAAUUCUGCUUAACCUAUUCCCCUUCUGGGUAUCUUCCUAAAAGAGCUAAAGAUACCAUAUUAGAGUGAUACAUGAAUACCAAUAUUCAUAGCAACAUAAUUCAUAAUAGCUAAUUUUUGGAAGCAGCCUAUAUGUUCAUUAAUAGAUGAAUGGAUAAAGAAAAUGUGAUAUCUUUACAUAAUGGAAUACUACUUAGGUAUUAAGAAUGAUAAAU
rnacentral:lncRNA from 1 species